GGGAAGGCGCUUCGGCGUCGGCCC
rnacentral:misc_RNA from 1 species